rnacentral:RNase_P_RNA from 12 species
GGAAGGAAGCUCACUGUAGAGGCUACAUGCAGAGUGCAUAUGUCACUCAAGUACCUUGGGGAAGGUCUGAGACAGGAGCCGGUAAUUGCCCCAGCAGGGCAUCCCCUGAAAAGGGGAGCGAGCUCCCAGAGACCCGGGGCCCAAAGGGGGUGGCAUGAGACGCGUGACCGUGUAUCUGGUACUCGCUGAUGCUUACUCCUUCCGGGCAUUGGAAGUGGCUCGCGGCUGGCACUCCCCUGAGUGCAAUGGCUGAGGUGAGGUAAUGGCGCCUCAUAACCCAAUUCAGACCACUCUCCGGAAUUCC